rnacentral:lncRNA from 1 species
GUUCCCCUGUUCCGAGUUCAUCUUUUCAACCAUGAACCAAAUCCCAACAUCCCAACAGCAUCCGGAUUAACUUCAUCUACCGAAUCCCUUGUUUCCACUGAAUCAAUUAUCAUCCAUGGAUAAGUCUCCGCCUUCCAACCAUUCCGUGAAUCUCUCCUGUGACUUCAUCUCUUCCGAAAUCUCCUGCUCACGGAUCGUUACCUCCUUCCACAUCUUCCACGCGUCUGGCUCAGCUCUCUCCCAUCCUUAUCCAAACGACUUUCCCUGCUUCAACCACAGAGGAACAGAAAUCCCAACUUUCGGAUCAGAGCCUUCUCCACGUCCGCAAGCCAUUCCGCGUUUCAGCAUUAUCUGAACCUGCAGCUGAGAUUUCCAAACGUCCGAGCUUCACGGAUCGUAGCCUAGCGAAUCCCUGCAUUCAGCCAACGGCAAAGGUCUAUCCUUAUCUGU